rnacentral:rRNA from 1 species
AGCGAACGCUGGCGGCAGGCCUAACACAUGCAAGUCGAACGAAGUCUUCGGACUUAGUGGCGGACGGGCGAGUAACACGUGGGAACGUACCUUUUGGUUCGGAACAACUCAGGGAAACUUGAGCUAAUACCGGAUGAGCCCUUAGGGGGAAAGAUUUAUCGCCGAAAGAGCGGCCCGCGUUAGAUUAGCUAGUUGGUGAGGUAAAGGCUCACCAAGGCUACGAUCUAUAGCUGGUCUGAGAGGAUGAUCAGCCACACUGGGACUGAGACGCGGCCCAGACUCCUACGGGAGGCAGCCGUGGGGAAUCUUGCGCAAUGGGCGAAAGCCUGACGCAGCCAUGCCGCGUGAAUGAUGAAGGUCUUAGGAUUGUAAAAUUCUUUUACCAGGGACGAUAAUGACGGUACCCGGAGAAGAAGCCCCGGCUAACUUCGUGCCAGCCGCUGCGGUAAUAC